rnacentral:rRNA from 1 species
UACGUAGGGCGCAAGCGUUGUCCGGAAUUAUUGGGCGUAAAGAGCUCGUAGGCGGUCUGUUACGUCCGCUGUGAAAACCCAGGGCUUAACCCUGGGCUUGCAGUGGAUACGGGCAGACUAGAGGCAGGUAGGGGAGAAUGGAAUUCCCGGUGUAGCGGUGAAAUGCGCAGAUAUCAGGAGGAACACCGAUGGCGAAGGCAGCUCUCUGGGCCUGUUCUGACGCUGAGGAGCGAAAGCUGGGGGAGCGAACAGG